UACGUAGGGUGCGAGCGUUAAUCGGAAUGACUGGGCGUAAAGCGUGCGCAGGCGGUUUUAUAAGACAGGUGUGAAAUCCCCGAGCUUAACUUGGGAAUUGCAUUUGUGACUGUAAGGCUAGAGUGUGUCAGAGGGGGGUGGAAUUCCACGUGUAGCAGUGAAAUGCGUAGAGAUGUGGAGGAACACCAAUGGCGAAGGCAGCCCCCUGGGAUAACACUGACGCUCAUGCACGAAAGCGUGGGGAGCAAACGGG
rnacentral:rRNA from 1 species